GCCUGAAGCAGAGCCGUGAAUGGACUGAAGAUGAGGUAUGUUUUGGUAUUAUCGUACAAUCGUACAGACUUGUAAUAUAUUUAAUGAUGAUUCCCUUUUUUUCCGUCUGCGGUUUCCAACAGAUGGCUUCGGUCAAUGAUGGCUAGGAAUGUCUGAUUACAGUUGAUAUGAAUGCUAAGGCUGUGAAUUUAUAAGUGUUCUAAUAGGCUUUUUUUUUCUUUCUAGGUUGUUCAAAGUAAAUUAUGAAGCAAACUGGCAGAAAUUGAUGACUGCUUGAAUAAGGAGUCGAUACUGGCAAAAGAACAUCUUGAGGCUAAGACUCUGUGGGCAUUUAUUGGCAAGAUUUAAGAUGAUCUGUGACUGAAAGAUGGUUUUCUUCACUGUAGCAUUCCAGAUUUUUUUUCUCUACUGACCUGGAAGGAAUGGUAAGUUCAUUUGCUUUAUUUGUGUAAAGAUUAAAUUUAGGGUUUGAGUUCUGACUUAUAAAAGUUACCAGUAAUUAGAUUAUUUGUGCAGUAAAAUAUACAUAGAAAGGGUUGAAAGAAACCUUAUUUUUUAAUUUUAUUAUUAUUAUUUUUUCUUAACCCCAUGUCCUUUUUUUAUGUAUAUUAUCUUGAUUAAUUUCAUUAAGUGACAAUUAUUUUAUUGGUUUCGUCAGAUUUUUUUUUCUUUGAAUUAAUGAAUUGAUAACUUGACACCUAUAAACUGUUGCUUACUCGGUUACGUGAAAUGAUUUCCAUUAUAUUUCAUUUUUUGGAAGAGUGAGCAAAGAGUAAGGUUUGCUGAAGCGGCAAUUUGUCUCUAUGGCUUGCUUGUCGUCUUGCAACCAACAAGGUCCUGGAAAUAGGACUUGUAUUACCAAGUCCUUGCUUGCAUAAAUAAUAAAUAACCAGAGUUUUCUUCUUCAGGUGUGGAGGAAGGGACUCCUUUGCUAAGUGUAUGGCAGAUGGAAGUGAUUAAUAGACUGGACUGCUAUAGGGUACUGAGUUAGAUUGAUGGCUUCUUCCAUGACCAGGAAAAAUGCAAGUAUGUGGAGCAAAAAGGAGGCCCUAUAGCUGGAGUUUCCCAACCCCUCUCCUCAUCCCUCAGGGCAGAGCACCAAAUGAGGGACUGUCAGGACGGAUGCCCCUUUUUGGUACAUGCCACAUUUUGCAAAUCUUUUUUUUUGUUUGUUUGUUUGUUGCAGUAAACCUCCUGCAAUGGACGUGUCUUGGUGUGUAGACCUGUAAUAAAAGUAUCGUGUGGUUCUGCAUGAUAUUAUUAUUCCAAGGUGUGCCUGCUGCUUUUUUGUCAAUAAAACCUUGUGUGUUA